AUUGCGCAGGCGCAAGGACUGCCCGGUAGGACGAGCGGUCUAUCAAGGGGAGGGAAGAUGAGGUUGAAGAGAUUAAAAAACCGGUUGGAAUCGAAGCCUCUUAAAAUGGCAGAUGAUUUGGACUUCGAGACAGGAGAUGCAGGGGCCUCAGCCACCUUCCCAAUGCAGUGCUCAGCAUUACGUAAGAAUGGCUUUGUGGUGCUCAAAGGCCGGCCAUGUAAGAUCGUCGAGAUGUCUACUUCGAAGACUGGCAAGCACGGCCACGCCAAGGUUAGAAUUUCACCUCCGCAUCUUGCCUUCCCCAUGCCUCCACUAUCCUUGGCGCUCCCAGCAGCAAGCUGCCAACAGUGCUGACUUUCCUUUAACUCUCCUUUUACUGUCUGUUUUUGUUUAGCACUCAGCCUUCAUACCCAUUUAGACAACUACACCUGCUCCCCAGUCUUCAGCUUCUUCUGUGGUUACCCUUCUGUCCCCGCGUCAUUCUCUGGCAGUCCCUCUGUUUCUCCAGCUUUGUGCCAGUCUCUUCAAUUCAUAGGCCUUUAUGCUCUAGCUAUUCAGUUGCUCCUCCUUUAUUCUUGGUUUUCUCUUUUUCUUUCUUCCCUUGAGCCGUUGUAGGUGGUUGUUUCCAUCACGUUGCCCAGGGUUUCUCCAAUUCUACGCCUUCCUCUGGAGGGACUCCUGCGUUAAUUCUGAGCUUUCAGAUCACCUUGCUGCUUCGUUCUCCAGUUCUAGCUUUCCCUUUGGAACUCUGAUGCAGGAUCAAACUGCCCCUACCUGCCCCGUCCCACUCUCCUUGGGUUCCUUGAGCCUCCAUGCUUUCAUGGGUUUUAACAUUCUUGCUGGCACUUCCCUCAUCACCUCAGACUUUUCCUGUCUCUUUAGAAUUUCAACCUGAUUCGUUCUUGAAUUUCUUGU
rnacentral:sRNA from 1 species